rnacentral:tRNA from 1 species
UGUUUAGGAAACAAUAGAUUUUGAAAAUCUAAAACAAAUGUUCGAAUCAUUU